AUGCUCUCUCAGAGGCACAAACAUCGAUUAUGGGCUGGGCUCUGGGCAGUGCUGGGUCCCUUUGCUGCCAGCAGAAACUGGCCCUUAUUUAAUACAAGGCAGCUCUUGGAUCCUUCUCACAGAGGCCGGGCCCGCUGCCCCCUGCUACCAAACCCUUGCUGUGCAAACCCACCGCAGGAUUUCAGGACCUGCAGGAGCACCCCCAGCCCUCCCUCACUUUUUUCCCUUGCCAAAGCGAUGGCAAGGCUGCGAAAACAAGGAACGGGCAUGGUGGGAGCCCAGGGGCACCCAGGGGUCUCACACCACCACGGGUGCCCCCCUGGGGGGGUGUUGGUGACAGCGAGGUGUCGCACAACGAGGCCGGGGCCGGGGCCGCUGCGGGCGGUGCCCGGGCAGCCGCUGCCCCUCAGGGCCUCCCCCGGCGGCCGUUGGUGGUGGGAGGGGGCGCGGGUGGGGGGCCGGAGCGCAGAUGUCGGCCGUGAAGCAGCGGAGCGGCCGAGGCGAUGCCCAGGACGCUGCCAGGGACUCGCAGGCCCGGCCCGGCCGCGUCAAGCGCCGCAGGACCAGGGGGGAGCGGAACCGCACCAAGUUCGGCCCAGGCCUCCCCAGCAGCACCAGGCGGCAGGGGCCGAGACCCCCCUGGGGGGGCGUCCCCCCGCUCCCCCGGCCCGCCCCCCCCCAGCACAGCCCCCUGCCGCCCCCCCGGCCCGUCAUCAUCACCCAGCAGCGCCUCAGCCGCCCCCGCGGCCUCCUGGGCCGGGGGGUGACAUCGGGGGACAUCCAGCGCCUGCUGGGGGGCGGGCAGGGGGGCGCUCCCCCCCCCGCCCGAGGGGCCGGGAGUGCCGGCAGGCAGCCCCCUCCCCGAGCUGGGGCUGGGGAGGGACGGGAGGCCGUCGACCCCCCGGCCCCAAGUCCCUCGAGGACCGGGGGGGGAGGACGGGGGCUCCUCCAGCCCCCCCAGGACGCCCCCCCGGGAGGUGCCCGGCCGCUUUGGGGCCCUGCUGCCGGCCCCCGCCGAGCUGUGGGGCCGGGCCCUGGCGGAGGAGCGGCGCCGAGCCGUGCUGGCAGCCCUGCUGGAGCGCCACCGAGCCCUGCCCGACCUCGCCGCCCUCCUGCCCCCCCGGGCCGUGGGGCUGCCCCCUCCUGUGUCACCCCCUGCCUCCCCUCCCUCGCCGGGGCUCUGCACCCCUGAAAUGGAGCCGCUUUCCCAGCCGCUGCGCCCCCCUGCACCUCUUCAGGCCGUCACUCAGAGCUGUUUCCCCUGGAUGGUGGAGGAUGAAGACGAGGCACACUCCGAAAAACCCGCCAUGCAAUUCUGCGUCCGGACCCCCUCACCACCGCUGUUCAGGGCCCGCCACCCUGCACCUUCCCCUGCCACCUACCUACCCGCAGGGCGCUGCACUCCCGAACCUGAGCUGCUGCCCCAACCAAUGCAGAGCAGGAACCCAGCACCCCAGCACCGCUGGCGCCGUGUCUCCCCACCAGCUGUCAAUCAGACUCCAAGCCCCCCUGCUGUUCCUCUGCCCCCUGUUUUCGGUGCCAAGAGGAAGGAGAAGCAGAGCUGGCUCCCCUGGAUGUCGGAAGAUGAGGAUGACACAUACCCUGAAGACCCAGCCCCACUGUUCUGUGUCCGGACACCAUCUCCACCACUGUUUGAGGGGCUCCCCCAGCCCCACAUCCCCCUGGGGGAGCCAGGCUGCACAUGCCGGGCAACAUGGGGCCCCAGGGUAG
rnacentral:lncRNA from 1 species